UGGGGGGAUAUUGCACAAUGGGGGAAACCCUGAUGCAGCGACGCCGCGUGAGUGAAGAAGUAUUUUCGGUAUGUAAAGCUCUAUCAGCAGGAAAGAUAAUGACGGUACCUGACUAAGAAGCACCGGCUAAAUACGUGCCAGCAGCCGCGGUAAUACGUAUGGUGCAAGCGUUAUCCGGAUUUACUGGGUGUAAAGGGAGCGCAGACGGCAUGGCAAAGCCAGAUGUGAAAGGUGGGGGCUCAACCCCCAAGCUGCAUUUGGAACUGUCAAGCUAGAGUAUCGGAGAGGUAAGUGGAAUUCCUAGUGUAGCGGUGAAAUGCGUAGAUAUUAGGAGGAACACCAGUGGCGAAGGCGGCUUACUGGACGAUAACU
rnacentral:rRNA from 1 species